rnacentral:rRNA from 1 species
AACGAACGCUGGCGGCAUGCCUAACACAUGCAAGUCGAACGAACCCUUCGGGGUUAGUGGCGCACGGGUGCGUAACGCGUGGGAAUCUGCCCUUUGCUUCGGAAUAACUCAGGGAAACUUGUGCUAAUACCGGAUGAUGUCUUCGGACCAAAGAUUUAUCGGCAAGGGAUGAGCCCGCGUAGGAUUAGGUAGUUGGUGGGGUAAAGGCCUGCCAAGCCGACGAUCCUUAGCUGGUCUGAGAGGAUGAUCAGCCACACUGGGACUGAGACACGGCCCAGACUCCUACGGGAGGCAGCAGUGGGGAAUAUUGGACAAUGGGCGCAAGCCUGAUCCAGCAAUGCCGCGUGAGUGAUGAAGGCCCUCGGGUCGUAAAGCUCUUUUACCAGGGAUGAUAAUGACAGUACCUGGAGAGUAAGCUCCGGCUAACUCCGUGCCAGCCGCCGCCGUAA